rnacentral:rRNA from 1 species
UCGGGAAUUUUGGGCAAUGGGCGAAAGCCUGACCCAGCAACGCCGCGUGAAGGAUGAAGUAUUUCGGUAUGUAAACUUCGAAAGAAUAGGAAGAAUAAAUGACGGUACUAUUUAUAAGGUCCGGCUAACUACGUGCCAGCAGCCGCGGUAAUACGUAGGGACCAAGCGUUGUUUGGAUUUACUGGGCGUAAAGGGCGCGUAGGCGGCAAUUCAAGUCAUCUGUGAAAUCUCCGGGCUUAACUCGGAACGGUCAGAUGAUACUGCUUUGCUAGAGUGCAGAAGGGGCAAUCGGAAUUCUUGGUGUAGCGGUGAAAUGCGUAGAUAUCAAGAGGAACACCUGAGGUGAAGACGGGUUGCUGGGCUGACACUGACGCUGAGGCGCGAAAGCCAGGGGAGCAAACGGGAUUAGAUACCCCAGUAGUCCCUGAGCGGGCUGGCAAGGCGCAU